GAAAUAUUUAAAAUCAUUUCACCACACAUUCAACACACUAUUUUCUAACCAUGACUAUUCACUGCGAAAUUGUUAAAUCUCUUAUUUGCAGGUACUUUAUCCAGGGCAUGGAACCUACAGGUAGCAAAAGGUACAUUAAUCUCAUGUGCAUCCUAAUGAUAGGCUCUGUCAGUGCACGGUCAAUUUACCACAAAGAAGUUCACGGCCAUCCACAUGCUGGGAACCUGGGUGAGAUUGACCACGAGUGCUGGGAUGCCUCAUCACGCAAGCUGGUGGAAAUGAAAAAGCUCAGAGUUUCAGAUACAAUCAUAGGUCUUUGGGAUUUCAUGAUAUAUUUGAAAGAAUCCACUAACCCCAAGCACAAUACGCUCUUUGAUGGCCUAGCACAGAACUUCUGGGAUAUAUACGUGGAUUGUGUCCUCUCAAGAUCACAUGGAGUUGGCAGAAGACAAUUAACAAGUCCAAAUCAUUUGUAUAAACUACAUCAACCAUUGAUAGUUAAUUUCAGGAAAGACUGGUUGUUCACUUAAUAAGGUUGAGUGAAACACAUUAAACUUGUGUAUAUAUUGUAUUUUGUAAUAUUGCCUUCUUUUUUUGUAUGUGCUUUAAAACAGAUAAUAGUGUGAAGAAUGUUCAGGAUCCCGGGUAAUGAUUUGGUAUUAGAGUGAAUUAUUUUAAUCAUUAAUGAGUGGCUGAAUAAUGAGGAGUUGUUUUUAUAAUAUGG